rnacentral:rRNA from 1 species
UACGAAGGGGGGCUAGCGUUGUUCGGAAUUACUGGGCGUAAAGCGCGCGCAGGCGGUCCUUUAAGUCGGGGGUGAAAGCCCAGAGCUCAACUCUGGAACUGCCUUCGAAACUAGAGGACUUGGGUACGGGAGAGGUGAGUGGAAUUCCGAGUGUAGAGGUGAAAUUCGUAGAUAUUCGGAAGAAACACCCAGUGGCGAAGGCGGCUCACUGGCCCGUUACCGAUGCUCAGGCGCGACAGCGUGGGGAGCAAACAGG